rnacentral:rRNA from 1 species
GACGAACGCUGGCGGCGUGCUUAACACAUGCAAGUCGAACGGAAAGGCCCUGCUUUUGUGGGGUGCUCGAGUGGCGAACGGGUGAGUAACACGUGAGUAACCUGCCCUUGACUUUGGGAUAACUUCAGGAAACUGGGGCUAAUACCGGAUAGGAGCUCCUGCUGCAUGGUGGGGGUUGGAAAGUUUCGGCGGUUGGGGAUGGACUCGCGGCUUAUCAGCUUGUUGGUGGGGUAGUGGCUUACCAAGGCUUUGACGGGUAGCCGGCCUGAGAGGGUGACCGGCCACAUUGGGACUGAGAUACGGCCCAGACUCCUACGGGAGGCAGCAGUGGGGAAUAUUGCACAAUGGGCGGAAGCCUGAUGCAGCAACGCCGCGUGCGGGAUGACGGCCUUCGGGGUGGAAACCGCUUUCGCCUGUGACGAAGCGUGAGUGACGGUAAUGGGUAAAGAAGCACCGGCUAACUACGUG